GUGCUCGCUUCAGUAGAACAUAUACUAAAAUCAGAACAAUAUAGAGAAGAUUAGCCUGGCCCCUGUGCAACAGUGACAUGCAAAUUCAUGAAACGUUCUGUAAUUUU